rnacentral:rRNA from 2 species
GAAUCUGGCUUCAGGUUCGGGACAACAGUUGGAAACGGCUGCUAAUACCGGAUGUGCCCUUGGGUGAAAGAUUUAUCACCUGAAGAUGAGCUCGCGUCUGAUUAGCUAGUAGGUGUGGUAAGAGCGCACCUAGGCGACGAUCAGUAGCUGGUCUGAGAGGAUGAUCAGCCACACUGGGACUGAGACACGGCCCAGACUCCUACGGGAGGCAGCAGUGGGGAAUUUUCCGCAAUGGGCGAAAGCCUGACGGAGCAAUACCGCGUGAGGGAGGAAGGCUCUUGGGUUGUAAACCUCUUUUCUCAGGGAAGAAUGAUGACGGUACCUGAGGAAUAAGCAUCGGCUAACUCCGUGCCAGCAGCCGCGGUAAUACGGAGGAUGCAAGCGUUAUCCGGAAUGAUUGGGCGUAAAGCGUCCGCAGGUGGCAAUGUAAGUCUGCUGUCAAAGCGUCUGGCUCAACCAGAUAAAGGCAGUGGAAACUACAUAGCUAGAGUAAGGUAGGGGUAGAGGGAAUUCCUGGUGUAGCGGUGAAAUGCGUAGAGAUCAGGAAGAACACCGGUGGCGAAAGCGCUCUGCUGGACCUUAACUGACACUGAGGGACGAAAGCUAGGGGAGCG